rnacentral:ncRNA from 1 species
ACCUCAAGGGGGGCUGUGAAUCUCGGCGCGUAAUCGGUCACCUAAGCGCUGAAGGGAGCCAGUGGUGAGACCGCCCCAUCAAGGA